rnacentral:rRNA from 1 species
GCUGUGGCCCCACCUGACUCCAUUCCGAACUCAGAAGUGAAACGCAGUAGCGCCGAUGGUAGUGUGGGAGUUCCCAUGUGAGAGUAGGACAUUGCUAGGU